UUCUCUUCCCGUAUGAUGAUAGUCUGACCCAGAUGAUUUUUAAGGUCUUUCCAGCUUUAAUGUUCAAUGCAUGAAACAAUACUUGCAGAGACUUUAGAUGGGAGGAGAAUUUCCAUAGAAGCAAAUCUACAGAUGCAAGAGACGAUACAAAGUGAGAAUCAGACAUGAUUUUGACCCUCGGAGGUUGAAACAUCCAUGGAGAGACGCGGUGAGGGCUUACGAAGCAAGGUGCUGCUGUCUUAGCCUAGAUCAGGCACCCGAGG